CACCCAAAUAAAAUCAAAACUGGUAAAAAAAUUCCUUCUAAAAAGCCCCAAAANNNNNNNNNNNNNNNNNNNNAAAAAUCAGCCAAAAAAUCCCUAAAAAUCCCAAAUUUUCUCCCAAGACCCCAAAAAUCAACCAAAAAAUUCCCAAAAAAUCCCAAAAAACCCCAAAAAACCCCCAAAAAAUCCAAAAAAAUCCCAAAAAUCAACCAAAAACCCCCCAAAAAAAUCCCAAAAAAAUCCCAAAAAUCCCCAAAAAAUUCCCAAAAAAUCCCCAAAAAAUCCCCAAAAAAAUCCCCAAAAAUCCCAAAUUUUCUCCCAAGACCCCAAAAAUCAACCAAAAAAUUCCCAAAAAAUCCCAAAAAUCAACCAAAAAACCCCCAAAAAAUUCCCAAAAAUCCCAAAAAUCAACCAAAAAACCCCCAAAAAAUUCCCAAAAAAUCCCAAAAAUCAGCCAAAAAAUCCCUAAAAAUCCCAAAUUUUCUCCCAAGACCCCAAAAAUCAACCAAAAAAUCCCCAAAAAAAUCCCCCAAAAUCCCAAAAAUCCCCAAAAAAUUCCCAAAAAAUCCCAAAAAUCAACCAAAAAACCCCCCCCAAAAAUCCCCAAAAAAUCCCAAAAAUCAACCAAAAAACCCCCCAAAAAAAUUCCCAAAAAAUCCCAAAAAUCAACCAAAAAAUCCCAAAAAAUCCCAAAAAAAUCCCAAAAAUCCCCAAAAAAUUCCCAAAAAAUCCCCAAAAAAAUCCCCAAAAAUCCCAAAAAUCCCCAAAAAAUUCCCAAAAAAUCCCAAAAAUCCCCAAAAAAUUCCCAAAAAAUCCCAAAAAUCAACCAAAAACCCCCAAAAAAAUCCCAAAAAAAUCCCCAAAAAAUCCCUAAAAACCCCAAAUUUUCUCCCAAGAUCCCAAAAAUCAACCAAAAAAUUCCCAAAAAAAAUCCCAAAGAACCCCAAAAAACCCCCAAAAAAUCCCAAAAACCCCCAAAAAAUCCCAAAAAAAUCCCAAAAAUCCCCAAAAAAUUCCCAAAAAAUCCCCAAAAAAAUCCCCAAAAAUCCCAAAAAUCCCCAAAAAAUUCCCAAAAAAUCCCAAAAAUCCCCAAAAAAUUCCCAAAAAAUCCCAAAAAUCAACCAAAAACCCCCAAAAAAAUCCCAAAAAAAUCCCCAAAAAAUCCCUAAAAACCCCAAAUUUUCUCCCAAGAUCCCAAAAAUCAACCAAAAAAUUCCCAAAAAAAAUCCCAAAGAACCCCAAAAAACCCCCAAAAAAUCCCAAAAACCCCCAAAAAAUCCCAAAAAAAUCCCAAAAAUCCCCAAAAAAAUCCCAAAAAUCCCCAAAAAAUUCCCAAAAAAUCCCCAAAAAAAUCCCCAAAAAAUUCCCAAAAAAUCCCAAAAAUCCCCAAAAAAUUCCCAAAAAAUCCCAAAAAUCCCCAAAAACCCCCAAAAAAUUCCCAAAAAAAUCCCAAAAAAAUCCCUAAAAACCCCAAAUUUUCUCCCAAGACCCCAAAUCCCAAAAAAACCCCCAAAUUCCAUAAAUUUUUGGGAUUUUCCCAGGUCCAAGUACCACAAGCUGAAGUUUGGGACGGAGGCUCCGGGGGAGAAGCGGCCGGAGGAGCCGGGUGAGACCCCAAAAUUUGGGGAUUUUGGGAUUUUUUUGGGGCGAUUUUGGGGUUUUUUGGGUUUUUUUUAUGGAUUUGGGAUUUUUUGGGGGGAUUUUGGGGUUUUUUUUGGAGGGGAUUAUUUGGAUUUUUGGGGGAGAUUUGGGAUUUUUUGGGUUAUUUUGGGGUUUUUUUUUCCAGUUUUUUUUGGGGUUGAUUUUUGGGGUAAUUUUGGGUUAUUUUUGGGUUGA
rnacentral:lncRNA from 1 species